rnacentral:lncRNA from 1 species
UUUUCUAAACACUCUCAACUCUCUCUAAUCACUCUAAAUUCGCAGCAACAUCAGAAUUUUGGGCAGAUUCAGCAAGCUUCACUAAAACUAGCAUAACUUCUUCGUUUCUUGUCCGUUUUAGCUCAUUCUUUUUCCUAUGUGCUUGGAUUUUCCUUAGCUUCGAUUCCAUGGGUGAUUCACAGCAAAUAAGUCCCUAGAACUCCGGCAAAAAGGCUCCAAAGUUAACUGUUUUCAUUAAUCUUUACCAAUACUUGUUUAAACUUGAGUCUAACUCACUCAAACCCACGUCCUUAUGCUUAUAACCUCUUCUAUGGUUAGUUAAGCUUAAAAACGGGGUUGAGACAUACAAAAUCAGAGGUUAACCCUCAAAUGCUUUAUGUUUUGUUUAGGGUUUUUGACCCACAAGUGGUGUUCAAGCUUCAAGCUUGAUAAAGGUGUGAUUGUGGACUAACUUGGGUUGUCCAACAUAAAAUCCCCACAUCUCUUGAUGAUUUCUCAUAGUGUAGAUGUUUCUUAUUCUUGUAUUGAUCUUAGUUCAUGACCCUCCUUGUAUGUUUUUACAUCAAGUGUAGUGGUGAACCAUAAGAGGUACCUAAAUGGAAGCUUGUUUUUCCUACCUCCUACAUGAAUUCUAUGACACAAUAGAGGUACCUAAAUGAAGAUUUAUCUUCUACCUCAUGCUUGAUUAUUGGACUAAAUAAUACAUAUGAUACUUAUACAUAUAUAUACUAUUCGAACCCUUGAUGAUGGACUUGUGUUCAUUCGUCAAGAUAUUAGAAUAACAUCAUCUAAGACAUAAGACUUGUUACGAUUCUAAUGAGUAUAUUACUCAUGAAAACAUUAACCCUUGAGGUUUCAUAGUGUCAAGAACAAGUACUUGGUGUUAAAGGAUGAUUACUUUCGAAUACAUAUAUUCUUGUGUUUUAACUUCCUAAAUCCCUACACGAACAUAUUCAACCUUCUAACCUCAUCAACUUCGUCACAUUCGAUAAUCGGAAAGCAUAUGCAAAUUUGUGAGUAUACUCGCAACCCCGUUUUUGUGUUUACCACCUUUUGGGGUGUAACAUGUUUUACUAUUAAACUACACUUAAACUUAUUCUUUAUGCAAUGCACAAAACAAUCCUUAUACAUGAAUACUAUGUUAUGAUACUUGAUACUUACGUGGACCAUACUUAUGUGAUAUGUUUUAGUCAUUAGCUCUCACGAGCUUCCCUUCGACAUGUAUAGCUAUAGGAGUAACGCACCGCCCCCCUUAAACUUGGGUCAUGUUGAAUUAAUUAAACUUUCUUGCGUAAACUGAGGUUGGCUAGAAAUAUUGCAUGCCACGUUAGGUUGAUCUCGUAUAGACUAUGUUGCCAUGUGGAUUCGUUUUAAACUUUUAUACUCAUACUUAUGCUUAUGCUUAAACUUGUUGAGGAUGAUGAUGCUAUGAAAUGAAGUAGCGUUGAUGCCUAGAUACACAUAUAGACGUUUAGGUUUAAUCGUUGUAUCAAUUUUGAUUAUGUUGUAUAGUUUUUCCUUUGAACUUGACGUUAUUUGAUUUCUUUGUAAUGUUGACAAAUGAAUUAUGAAAUGAAAUUGGU